rnacentral:rRNA from 1 species
UACAGAGGUCUCAAGCGUUGUUCGGAUUCAUUGGGCGUAAAGGGUGUGUAGGUGGCGCCGUAAGUCGGGUGUGAAAUUUCGGAGCUUAACUCCGAAACUGCAUUCGAUACUGCGGUGCUUGAGGACUGGAGAGGAGACUGGAAUUCAUGGUGUAGCAGUGAAAUGCGUAGAGAUCAUGAGGAAGACCAGUGGCGAAGGCGGUUCUCUGGACAGUUCCUGACACUGAGACACGAAGGCCAGGGGAGCAAACGGG